rnacentral:rRNA from 1 species
AUUGAACGCUGGCGGCAUGCCUUACACAUGCAAGUCGAACGGUAACAGGUCUUCGGAUGCUGACGAGUGGCGAACGGGUGAGUAAUACAUCGGAACGUGCCCGAUCGUGGGGGAUAACGGAGCGAAAGCUUUGCUAAUACCGCAUACGAUCUACGGAUGAAAGCAGGGGACCGCAAGGCCUUGCGCGGACGGAGCGGCCGAUGGCAGAUUAGGUAGUUGGUGGGAUAAAAGCUUACCAAGCCGACGAUCUGUAGCUGGUCUGAGAGGACGACCAGCCACACUGGGACUGAGACACGGCCCAGACUCCUACGGGAGGCAGCAGUGGGGAAUUUUGGACAAUGGGCGCAAGCCUGAUCCAGCAAUGCCGCGUGCAGGAUGAAGGCCUUCGGGUUGUAAACUGCUUUUGUACGGAACGAAACGGUGAGCUCUAAUAAAGCUUGCUAAUGACGGUACCGUAAGAAUAAGCACCGGCUAACUACGUG